rnacentral:lncRNA from 13 species
UCUUUAAAAUUUUCUGUAUGUUUCCCAUAUGCUGCUCUUCAUAUUUUUGUUUUAUCUGGAAAAGAUCAUAGAGCAUCAUUAAAUUAAAUUUUGUGAAAAUUACUGGCUUAAGGAGAAUAUGGCCCCUGAUAUGGUUUGGCUGUGUCCCCAGCCAAAUCUCAUCUUCAAUUUCCAUGUGUUAUGAGAGGAACCUGGUGGGAGGUAAUAGAAUCAUGGGGAAAGGUCUUUCCUGUACUGUUCUGUCACUAAUGUGGUUUGGCUGUGUCUCCAUCUAAAUCUCAUCCUGAAUGGGACAAAUCUCGUGGGAGGUCAUUGAAUCCUGGGGGCAAGUUUUCCUGUACUGUUCUGGUGGUAAUGAAUAAAUCUCAUGAGAUAUUAUGAUUUUAAAACUGGAGUUUCCCUAUGCAAGCCCUCUGUUUGCUUGCUACCAUCCAUGUAAGAUGUAACUUGCUCUUCCUCACCUUCCAGGAUGAUUGUGAGGCUUUCCCAGUCACAUGGAACUGAAUAAUGAGGUAAAACAGAAGAUAUUCGGCUUGGAUUCGUUUGCACUGAAGAUUAAUGAUUGUCUAAGAUUCUUGAUUUGGGAUGGGAGGAGAGGAUUUUUCUCCCAGGAUAACUCUACUCAGAUCAAGAUUUCAGCCCAGCCUUCCAAUGUAUAGAAUAUACAUGUGUGAGAAGAAGAUUUCAGAGUUGUGAAAGUUUCUUAUGCAUUUUGAAAAUUCAUCACUUAAUUUUGUUAAUAAGGAUUGAAAAUGUUUCUUCCCACUCUGUGGGUUGCCUUUUCAUUCUGUUGAUUGUUUUCUUUGUUGUGCAGAAGUUUUUACAUUGAUUUCUUUCUAUUUUUGCUUUAGCAGCCUAUGUUUUUGAUGUCCUA